rnacentral:rRNA from 1 species
UACGGAGGGUGCAAGCGUUAUCCGGAUUCACUGGGUUUAAAGGGUGCGUAGGUGGGUUGGUAAGUCAGUGGUGAAAUCUCCGGGCUUAACCUGGAAACUGCCAUUGAUACUAUCAGUCUUGAAUAUUGUGGAGGUUAGCGGAAUAUGUCAUGUAGCGGUGAAAUGCUUAGAUAUGACAUAGAACACCAAUUGCGAAGGCAGCUGGCUACACAUAUAUUGACACUGAGGCACGAAAGCGUGGGGAGCGAACAGG